ncrna:unclassified sequences Moco (molybdenum cofactor) riboswitch
UUUAACGCAUAACUCCGAGCUUGUUUAGCCUAAGUUUCAGAAGAAAUACGGUGGCAAGCCAAUAACGCCGUGUGUUAUUCAGGGAUACGCUGGAAACGGUUUAUCCUCUCCAUAUUUAGAAAGGUGUAAAAUGCAAUCCAUU